rnacentral:rRNA from 1 species
CCUACGGGUGGCAGCAGUGGGGAAUAUUGGGCAAUGGGCGCAAGCCUGACCCAGCAACGCCGCGUGAAGGAAGAAGGCUUUCGGGUUGUAAACUUCUUUUCUCAGGGACGAAGCAAGUGACUGUACCUGCUGAAUAAGCCACGGCUAACUACGUGCCAGCAGCCGCGGUAAUACGUAGGUGGCAAGCGUUAUCCGGAUUUACUGGGUGGAAAGGGCGUGUAGGCGGGGACGCAAGUCAGAUGUGAAAACCACGGGCUCAACCUGUGGCCUGCAUUUGAAACUGUGUUUCUUGAGUACUGGAGAGGCAGACGGAAUUCAUGGUGUAGCGGUGAAAUGCGUAGAUAUUAGGAGGAACAC